rnacentral:rRNA from 1 species
UACAGAGGUCCCAAGCGUUGUUCGGAUUCACUGGGCGUAAAGGGUGCGUAGGUGGCGAGGUAAGUCGGAUGUGAAAGCUCGGAGCUCAACUCCGAAAUGGCAUUGGAAACUACCUUGCUCGAGGGUCGGAGGGGGGACUGGAAUACUUGGUGUAGCAGUGAAAUGCGUAGAUAUCAAGUGGAACACCAGUGGCGAAGGCGAGUCCCUGGACAAAACCUGACACUGAGGCACGAAAGCUAGGGGAGCAAACAGG